ACAUGACAAAACUUGGAAAAAAGAGAAGAGGGCGAACAAGAUUUGAUUUCGGGUGUAGAACAAAAUAACCAAGCAUUAUGUUCUCCGGGAACAGAGACCUCCCAUCAGGAGGCUGGUUCUUAGCAGCUUCUGCUAACGCUCAGGAGGCCACUCGAGCCAUCCGUCUCUCCAUGCCUGAUCCUGACAGCGCAGCAUGCCCAGAGGAAGGAGCCCACAAAUGCAAAAGUGCCUAGGACCUACCAAAGUCAUAACGCACCCCUGUGUUGAGGACAUCCUCCAAAAUGAAAUGUUCCAGAUGAGAUGGAAUCAGCACACUCCACCCUGUCUCUCCCUCUGAAUGCAGACAUAAAACCUGGAGAGAAAAAAUAA